AGUUUUCUCUCCUUAAAGGAUUUCCGACAGCAAUAUAUGGAAUUUCUACAUGCUCAGCAAUAGGAGCAAUAUGGAUGGGUUCAAAAUCAAUUAAAACAGUUCUACGUUGGAAUUAAUUGGUUAGUGUAUGCUGCAACACAUUUUUGAAGAUGGAGGUUUACCGAUAUGGCAGAACUUGUAUUUUAUCUUUUUUUAUAAAUAUAUCUGUAACAC
rnacentral:lncRNA from 1 species